UACGAAGGGGGCUAGCGUUGUUCGGAUUUACUGGGCGUAAAGCGCACGUAGGCGGAUCGAUCAGUCAGGGGUGAAAUCCCAGAGCUCAACUCUGGAACUGCCUUUGAUACUGUCGAUCUGGAGUAUGGAAGAGGUGAGUGGAAUUCCGAGUGUAGAGGUGAAAUUCGUAGAUAUUCGGAGGAACACCAGUGGCGAAGGCGGCUCACUGGUCCAUUACUGACGCUGAGGUGCGAAAGCGUUGGGGAGCGAACAGG
rnacentral:rRNA from 1 species